rnacentral:lncRNA from 1 species
UCUCAGCAAUAUAACAGAAUUUCCCUCUUUUGCUACUUUCUCUCUCUAUUUCUCCCUCUCUCCCAAUUCUCCCUGCUCGUCUGUGCACUCUUCAUCCCCAAUCUUCCUAUCUCCCCCAAAUCUUCCUCAAUUCCGGAAUUAAUUCUCAAUUUUAGACAGAAAUGGAUCCAGAGGCCUGACAGGGGAUUGGGUUUAUAUGAGCUGGGGAAACAUUGGUGUCUUGGACCCGCCAACUGGCUAACUGACUCGGUAAUUGCAAUUCAUUAUUAUGAACUGUAGAUUUUUGCUGUACCAAUUUUGUACUUUUAAGUAAUUCUUCGUACUAUUAUACAACAAUGUCCAAAACACCGUUUCAACUACUUAAUUCAUAGUUAUAUAAAAAAUGGGAUGAUCAGAUACCUAAUAAAUUAAGUUUGUCCAAUUCAAACUGAUUCGUGUAAUUCUUAUUAUAUUUGGCGUAGGUUGUAUAGUUUGAUAUAAUCAUCAACUUUUGUAUAGAUUGAUAAAUUCGGAUUUACAUUCAAACUGUAAUUGUAUGAAUUUACAACAAAAGUUACAAAAAUAAAAAGAAUCGAUUUGAAUUGAAUAGAAAUCAACUUGCGAGAUUCUUGAUCCAAAAUUAGGAAGCUGCCUAUCAUUUGUAAUGACUUGUUGAUUCUUUUGUUAAAAUGUACACACUCCUAACUUCCUUAGGGGGAAAAAAAAAAAAAGAAAGAACGUUUCACCCUCUUCUGUUUCCUUAGAAACCUUUGGAAGUGAUAUAUAUAUAUAUAUAUAUAUAUAUAUUUUAAUGGUGUUUCCCAAUGAAAACUUAACCGUCAAUAUACAAAAGUUAGGCAUAUCUAAAUUCAACACUAUGUAUCAGGAAUUUAGCGAGAAAAAUCAUGCUAGGCCUAAAAAAUGGUAAGCUUUAGGUACUGUAACGCCCUAGCCUCAAGAGCUAACCUAAGGAACUUUUGAGUUGAAACCACAAAUUUAAAAUGAUUAAUUUAAAUCCUGGCCAAAGAACUUUUGAGCUAAAACUAUGGAUUCAAAAUAAUUAACUCAAGUUAUUAAGUAGUCCAUGGAUCUAGAAAUAACAUAUUGGCCAAGACUCAACCCAGGCAAAAACCAUGCAAAAUCUGUUAGCAUUUAAACUGAAAUCGCGGGUCAAAACAAUUAAACCAAAUUGCUAAAUAACCCAUGGGUCUAGAGUCAUGUAUCAAUCCAAUCCUUUCCUUUCUUUUUGAUGUUGGACGGGUCCUCAGAGUUAAGACAGAAAUAAUUUGAUUAAAUUUUUAACAUUGGUAUAUAAUUGAAGGCAACAUGUGACAUAAUCGAAUACCUGCAAUCCUUUUGCUUUGAAUAAUAAAUAUGAUAAGUCUUUUUCAGAAAAAUAAAAUACUACUCCAUGAUAAGUUGCACAACCUUAAUUAGAACUGAACAUACUCCUUUGCUAGUUUGGCUGGCAUUCAUAUUUAUUUGAUAAGCUCAAGGACCCAAAUGCACUGUAUCUUAAUGAAAAUUAAAGUUUCACUUUACAAUAGAGUUGGACAUUGAGAAACAGCAAUAAAGAUAUACACACUGAGGUACUGCGUCAACAAACAAUCCCAAAUUAUAUGCUGUUGUUCAACAUACAGGAUUCAUCAAAAUCCCCCAAACAUUUGAAUGUGGUCUCAGGUCACGGAAAUACUUUGGUUGCUGUCCCUGCAGCAUAACAGACAUGAGCUCAAGAAAUAGAUUGGCAGUCAUUUGCUGAAUCAAGAAAAAAGGAAAAUAGUAGAACGUGUAAGAAUUAGCUUAGCAAGCCAUUAUUAAAUGCCAAACCCAAAAUCCUGUUAUGAGUCAUUCAUAGAGGUGCAGGUCAGAGCUGUUAGAUUUUAUUGGCCCGAAGUUUGAUUACAUAACAACAGAGAACAAAAGUAUUUAUUCCGUUCCUAGUCAAUUUGUAAUUUUUCUUUUAAAAUACAUGCGCAUGUCUGUUCUAGCAAAAAGAUGUAAAUUUUCAGAGUCUACUACUUUUAACUACUAAAACAAUCCCUGGUGCAUUGAAGUCUUUCAGACAAUGUAAUGAAUCUUUUUAUUUAAAAAAGGAAAAUGUCUAUCAAUACUUUAAUCUGUCUUUCAAGUUACAGCUUGAAACAAAAACAGAGAAGAUGCACCUCAAAGGAGAGAAUACUGGAAUCAAUAAUCAGCAGACAUCUGGAAUCAAUAAUGAGGCAGUUUGAGAAAACUGCUCUUCUUUUUUGUGACGAUGGAUGAGUUGCCUUGAUUCUGACCCUUUAAAAAACAAAAAGAAUGACUGAUAAGGAGGAGGACGAAAGAAUCUACGGAAAAGAAAAUGUAAAGAGCAAUUGAAGGAUAUGGCCAUUUAAAAGGAAGCAGUAGCGUUUUUUAUUUCCUUUUUCCUUCCGGGGAUUAUAUAUAAGAAAAAAAAAAAGCACUACUAAUAGAAUUCUAAACAAACCGAAUAAGUAGAGAUUAAAACAGAACAUUGGAAAUAAUUAUUAACUACUUACAGUUACAGUGGGGUUUGUUUCCCUAAUGCGAAACCAGUCAAACUUUGUUGAAAUCGAUAACAACAAGGGGAAUAUGUGCAAUCUUGGGCCACUCUGCG